UGAACACUGAUGUGAACACUGAUGUUCCCUUGGUUAACUAGCUAGUGACUAGAAGCUAAUACAAACAAGCUCACUCAGAAUAUACUUAUAUAUGAGUGAAUCUGUGGUGGUAGAUUUAAAUAACAUACUAUUAAUUUUGGACUAGGCGGUAAAUGUUAACAACCUGGCUCUCUCUAGUUAUGGAGACUGACUCAAAGCACCAGCUAUCUGAAAACUUACCUUAAAAUUACGACCAGGAUCCCUUCUGAUUUUUUUUAUCCACUCUCGACGUAGUCCCUUAUCCUCUGGAAAACGGUGAAAGGUUUGUCCUCUGUUGGAUUUUUUCCUGUGUGAUGAAGUGCACUGGGGAACACAGCACUGCGGCGCCAUUGCCGCUAAGAGAAAUCGCGACGCAAGAAUUCCCGGAAGUGGGCCAAAACACAUUAUCACGAUACUUUCAACAAAGAUGUCAUCCUUCUUCCAAAAUCAUCGAGCAGUGCUGUCGUCGGGCACAAAGCAACAGUUACAUGAACAGGGACAGAGAAACUGUCACUGAACAAAUAUGGGAUGCCUUUGGAGAAAAACUCUCUACUGAUGUAAGGUAAUUUGUUUUUAUUAUGUCCAAACUGUGAUUAUAAAUGACUAACUGAAAUAAGCAGUUCUUCUGGUCAGGUGCCAGUAUGUCCACUGGAGAGCUGCCCUUCUACCAGACAGCCUUCUACCUCAUCAUCAAGAGGAAUAACUACAGUUGAUCCAACUCUGGUCCUGACUUGUGAAGAUAUCUCAACUUCACCCUACCAGAGCAGCAUCCCAGCAAGUUAUUGUUCUGCCUAUACCUCAACACACCAUCAAUCAGCAAACUAUGAGAACUACCUUUCAGUAAUGGCUGCACUCUCUGAAACGUCUUCUGACGAUGAGGAAUUGAACCUGGCGAUAAUAGCAAGUCUGGAGAGUGAAAAGUUAGUACAUGAUGCAGAUGUUUUAUGCAGAGCCAACCCAACAAUGAAAUUAUGUCUGCUUACAAAUACUGUACCUGUGUAAAAUAAAUGUAAACUGAUAUUAUUUUGUGUUGUUAAUGUUAGUAAUGUUAAUAUUUUCAAAAUAUUGUGCUUUUCUGUUGACUUGAAUGUUGAAGUGGCCCUACUGUGAGGGGUCAUGUGUAACGCAAAGAAAAAUUAAAGCUGCAAGCAGCAUUGGGCGGGACCUCGCACUCCACGCAACUCGGGGCGUGCUGCGGCCGCGUCACGUGCCGUUGUAACACGUGUGGACCACAACAUGAAACCUAGCAUAAAAGUGCACCAUUUUAGCUGUGGGGACUAAUAAAGUCAAAAUGGUAGCUCUGGGGUGAUCCAAAAUGGUAGCUCGUGGCUACAGCCAAAAUACACUCAAUAAGUGUAUCCAAAAACAUAGCUGUUAAUGUUCUCUUCCUAAGCGUACUUUAAGGUAUUCUCAUGUUAAAAUGUUUUUUCACAAAACAGCUGUUUAGCAGUAAUAUGCAAUAAUAAUUAAAAAAAUGUUAUUGUACCUGUUACAAAUAAAUAAAAUACACAUGAA